GUCUAUGGUCAUACCACCCUGAAUAUGCCCGAUCUUGUCUGAUCUUGGAAGUAAGCAGGGUCAGGCCUGGUUAGUGCUUGGAUGGGAGACUGCCUGGGAAUACUGGGUGCUGCAGGCU
rnacentral:rRNA from 1 species